AAAGUGCAAACAGUGAUAGGUGCUGCUUUAAUGUUACCUUCUCUGUUUGCACUUACC
rnacentral:pre_miRNA from 1 species